rnacentral:rRNA from 1 species
UGGAACUGCCAUCAAAACUUUUCAGCUAGAGUAUGAUAGAGGAAAGCAGAAUUUCUAGUGUAGAGGUGAAAUUCGUAGAUAUUAGAAAGAAUACCAAUUGCGAAGGCAGCUUUCUGGAUCAUUACUGACACUGAGGAACGAAAGCAUGGGUAGCGAAGAGGAUUAGAUACCCUCGUAGUCCAUGCCGUAAACGAUGUGUGUUAGACGUUGGAAAUUUAUUUUCAGUGUCGCAGCGAAAGCGAUAAACACACCGCCUGGGGAGUACGACCGCAAGGUUAAAACUCAAAUGAAUUGACGGGGACCCGCACAAGUAGUGGAGCAUGUGGUUUAAUUCGAAGAUACGCGCAGAACCUUACCAACACUUGACAUGUUCGUCGCGACUUUAAGAGAUUAAAGUUUUCGGUUCGGCCGGACGAAACACAGGUGCUGCAUGGCUGUCGUCAGCUCGUGUCGUGAGAUGUUGGGUUAAGUCCCGCAACGAGCGCAACCCUCACUUUUAGUUGCCAUCAUUAAGUUGGGCACUCUGAAAGAACUGCCAGUGAUAAGCUGGAGGAAGGUGGGGAUGACGUCAAGUCCUCAUGGCCCUUACGUGUUGGGCUACACACGUGCUACAAUGGUAUCUACAACAGGAAGCAAGACGGCGACGUUAAGCAAAUCCUUAAAAGAUACCUCAGUUCGGAUUGCACUCUGCAACUCGAGUGCAUGAAGCUGGAAUUACUAGUAAUCGUGGAUCAGCGUGCCACGGUGAAUGCGUUCCCGGGUCUUGUACACACCGCCCGUCACACCAUGGGAGUUGGUUCUACCUUAAGGCAAGGUUUAAAACCCUUGACCACGGUAUAGUCAGCGACUGGGGGUGAAGUCGUAACAAGGUAGCCGUAGGGAACCUGCGGCUG